rnacentral:lncRNA from 1 species
GGCGAACUUCUGGAGGAGGCUCUCCACCAUGCGCUGCGUCGCCGGCGUUUCGGGCGUAUCGAUGGCCCCCCGGAUUGCUCCGGCAUCGGUGGGCAAAGGGAGGGCGACGUCGGCGAGGUGAAGCAGCAACCGACGCUCCAAGGCCGGGUCGGGGGCCAAUUCCGGACCCCCCCCAUCCGUAGAGGGGUUGGCAGAGCCCCCCCCGACCCCCCCAGGUGUGGGGAUGGAGCUUCCCACGGAACCGGGGGGGAGGAAAGGGGGUGGGUGGGUGGGGAGGGGAGGGGGGG